rnacentral:rRNA from 1 species
AGCGAACGCUGGCGGCAGGCCUAACACAUGCAAGUCGAACGAACCCUUCGGGGUUAGUGGCGGACGGGUGAGUAACACGUGGGAACGUGCCUUUAGGUUCGGAAUAACUCAGGGAAACUUGUGCUAAUACCGAAUGUGCCCUUCGGGGGAAAGAUUUAUCGCCUUUAGAGCGGCCCGCGUCUGAUUAGCUAGUUGGUGAGGUAAUGGCUCACCAAGGCUAUGAUCAGUAGCUGGUCUGAGAGGAUGACCAGCCACAUUGGGACUGAGACACGGCCCAAACUCCUACGGGAGGCAGCAGUGGGGAAUCUUGCGCAAUGGGCGAAAGCCUGACGCAGCCAUGCCGCGUGGAUGAUGAAGGUCUUAGGAUUGUAAAAUCCUUUCACCGGUGAAGAUAAUGACUGUAGCCGGAGAAGAAGCCCCGGCUAACUUCGUGCCAGCAGCCGCCGUAA